CUGCAGUUUUUGUGGCGGACGGUUUUGUGGCCGAAAAUCGGUUCCAUUCAAUUGAAUGAGGCAGCAAGCGCAUGGAUUCCUGCAAGCCCCAUUAUGGUGAAUGAAACUGAUUUUCAGUCGUGGAAUUUUCUGCCGUGUGUGAAGGCGCCCU